CGUGAUCACCUUCCAAUUGAAGGAAUCUUUCCCAUAACAGAAUUUUAUUCUUGUUUAUCACAUUUAUGAUUUUGGCAUUUUGUGGCUCUUACCAAAAUUCACUCUUUAUCUACCUUGGAGGCCCACACAUUUUCUUUCUCACCCACCAUUCCAUUUUACCUUACAUUAUAUAACACACAUAGAGAUACAGAGGGGGCGAACAGAAACAGAAUAGAGAGAGAAAGAGGGUGACAGGAAACAAAUUAGAGAGGAGAACGAGAGAAGUCUGGGAGGAACGAAAAAACAGAGGAAAACGAGGGCCUAUAAAUAUCAUUUUCUUCUACAAAGUUAAUCCAUUCCUUAAACCACCAUUAAUAUCAUCUUUCUUCACCCUUGUUUCCUCCCACCAAAUCUCACCAUAGAUAUUGUCCCUAACACCAAAUAUCACCGACAACUAAUUCAAACACCCUUGCUUAACGUCAAACUAAAGGGGUCGGGUUAGCUAUAUUUUGUUUGAAGUUGCAGAUUGAGGUUUUCGGUUCGCCGUUUUGUUUAUUUUUUGUUGAUUUUUCGCUUCUCCGGUCAAGUUUUCGUCGCCGGAUUUUUCUUCCCUUCAUCAAUUGUAAAGCUAUUUUGGGAAGUUCUAUUAAUGGAAAAGGCUACUUAAAGUGUAGAUUCAACUCAAUUUCCAGGAGAAACAUAUCAUUAAAGGUCCAACUCUUUUCUCUUUUUUUCUUGCAUUUUGUUUUCUAGCUUUGCUGCUGUUUGAUUUACUUUACGAAAUGGUCUUGUGGCUUAUUUUAUAAUUUGUAUGUUAAUGUGUUCUUAACAGAAUAGUUGUUAUACUUUGAAUCAAUACUUCUUUAAUUAAAACAUAAGAGAUAAUUUGAUUUUGAGUUUUUGGGUUUAGUUAUAAAAGUUAAAAUUAAAAUGGACACUAUCAUGAAACAAGCAAGAGAUUCGGGGUUAAGAAUAGUUUAGAGUGGUUGGGUUUAAACCAAAAAAAUAAAAUUGGGCUUUGCUUGAGUUAUUCGCAUUUUAAACUGACAAAAUAAAAAAAAUUGAAAACAAAUUUAGAUUAAAAGGGAUUUGGGCUUAAUAUGAAUCUUAUUUAUUUCUAUUGAGUACGUUAGAAUGCUUUAGGAACAUUUUGGAUCUAUCACCGUGAUUGUGUACAUGUUCGCGUGACAUAAUUAUGAUUCUAAAAGUAAAUCGAGGUAUGCGUUCGUGCAACUUCAGUCAAACUUUCUUAAUAAUAAAGCAUUAUUAAUUGUGGACACGUUCGCGUGACAUAAUUUUUGACGCGCCAAAUAAAUGGGUACACGUACGCGUGACCUGUUUUAAGAUAAUUUCUUGACUAAAAGAGGUAAAUGCACAUAGGUUCUAAAAUAAUUAAUUAGGCAAUUUAAUUAAGCCAAGUAUGAUUAAAGCGACCGUGCUAAAAUCACGUAACCCGGGAAUGCUAACACCUUCUCCAGGGUUAAUAGAAUUCCUCACCCAGAUUUCUAUGUUCGCAGACUGUAAAACAGAGUCAAGCUUCCUCGAUUCAGAAUUUUAAACUGGUGACUUGGGACACUAUAAAUUAUCCCAAGUGGUGAUUUUGAAUUUGAAUAAAUAAUCCCGUUUCAAUUAUCGUCACUUUAAAUGGAAAAACUUCCUUAUAUCCUCUCUCGGGUGGUAAAAAGGAGGUCUGAUAGCUCAGGCGACUCUACAGGGGAUAAGAACCUAGAAUCUCCGGUUCAAGGUUCAGAAUUCGAGCUUGUUAAUAUGAUCUAUGCUUGACUUUAUUGUUUGUUGAUAUUACUGAAUUUGUGGACCUAAUGUGCUAAUUGACGCUUAUUUAUUGCUUUGAUAUUAUUUGAACUGUAUUAAAUUUUCUUCUUAUGCCUCCCUUCUGAGUCCUCUAAGAAUGGUGCACACGUUCGCGUGACCCACUUUUCUGUUAGAAGUUAUACCAAAUAGAACGAGAUUGGUCCAACAACAAGGCCGGGUAGACUUUCGUUCUCCCGGUACGUUGCCCCAACCUUGGCUCGAGCUGUCCGCUUGGGUAAACCAUGUCUAGAACACACCCCAGGGUUUCAAACCUAGAAUAACAUAGCCUCAUCCGGAUCCCUAGUAGGAACGUUUAUUUGCAUCACGUGCAUUUGACUUAGGGGACUCAACACAGGGGUUGGGUCCGUCUAGGACAGGUGUACCCUGAAUGAAAGACCAUCCUGAUGCAUCUUACAUGCUAUUUAUAUAUUUAUUUGCUUCGACUUGUAUGUUGACUGGCUAAGGAAAGAAAAACAACAGAAAAAUUAAGAGUGAGGUAAGAUAGAGAAUUCACUCGGUUAUGAAAAUCCCGGUAUUUGAAAACGCCUCGAAACUCUGCCAAAAUUUUUUAAAAAAAAAAGAAGAAGGGAAAAUGUAUUUCAAAAAAUGAAAGUGAGUCAAUAUAAUGUUUUUUCCAAUUGUGUACAUGUUUGCGUGACAUAAUUAUGAUUCUAAAUAUAAAUCAAGGUAUGCGUUCACGCAACUUCAGUCAAACUUUCUUAAUAAUAAUAAAGUAUUAUUAAUUGUGGACACAUUCGCGUGACAUAAUUUUUGACGGGCCAAACAAAUGGGUACACGUACGCGUGACCUGUUUUAAGACAAUUUCUUGACUAAAAGAGGUAAAUGCACAUAGGUUCUCAAAUAAGUAAUUAGGCAAUUUAAUUAAGCCAAGUAUGAUUAACGUGACAGUGCUAAAACUACGGAACCCGCGAAUGCCUAACACCUUCUCCCGGGUUAACAAAAUUUCUUACCCGAAUUUCUGUGUUUGCAGACUGUAAAACUGAGUCAAACUUCCUCGAUUUGGGAUUUUAAACCGGUGACUUGGGACACCAUAAGUUAUCCCAAGUGGCGACUCUGAAUUUGAAUAAAUAAUCAUAUUUCGAUUAUCGUCACUUUAAUUGGAAAAACUCCCUUAUAUCCCCUCUCGAGUGGUAAAAAGAAGGUGUGACACCUUGCACCACUUUGCUCAUAGUAUCACAAUAACAUUCUCAGAUCAAUUUAGUCGAAAUUCAACGAAUCUAAUGCUUCUAUUGCACCCCAUGACAUACAUAGGUCUUGCUCUAACUCUUACAAUACUGCCACGACGGAAGAGAUGUGUAGAAAUUCAUAACCAACUACCAAAUCAACAAUUCAUUGGGUCUAUACUUCUGAUAGGAACCAUCACCUCAUUCUGAACCAAAUAAUGGUCUUUUCUCCUGUCACGACCCCAAAUACCCAGUCGUGAUGGCACCUAUCACAUUGUUAGGCAAGUUAACCCAAACCAUUAACUACAACAAAGUCCUUUUAUAAAACUAUUUUCUAACACAGGUUUAAAUACCAAAUUUCCAUAAUAAGCGUUUAAAACAUAAUUACAUAUGCGGAAGUCAAAUAAACAUGAAAGCUACACAGCCCCAAACAUCUGGUGUCACGAGUCUAGAGCCUCUAUUACAUAACUGACUAUCUGAUACAACAAAAGUCUAGAAAAAUACGGAAAGAGAACAAGAUAAGAAGGAGAAAACAUGAUAACAAAUCCAUUUCACAGUUUAAAACUAGGUUCGUCGUAAAAUUAUCAGCUUCAGUUUAAAAACUUAAAAUCAUAUACUUAGCAAUUUUUCCAGCAGAGGCUAUUUUUAAAAGAAGAGUGAAAUCAGUGAAAAUAUCAUAACUGGGCCCCUCGGGCAAGGUAUCACUCAGAACAUGGCCUAUCGGCCAGCUUCUCAAUCACUCAUGACUCACUCUCGUCACUCAGUACUCACUCUCAGCACUUGAUAACUAGGGAUUUUGACGCAUUCUAUGCUCCUUCUUGCUUACGCUUUGAUUAUAAAUUCAUACAAAAUAGUCCCAAAAGGCUCAUAAGUUGUGCUUGAUUGCAGGUUUGAUCAAUAAAGUGACAAGAUGUCAAAGAUCUCUCAAAAGGAGUGAAACUUGCACAAGUACCAAAGAUAAGACAAACUCAGGAAAAACAGGCCUAGUGCGGCUGCACUAUACUUUGUGCGGUCCGCACUAGGGAGGUUCAGAGAGAUGGUACUUCAGGAAUUAAUGCAGUGCGGCCACAGAAGGUUGUGUGCGGUCCACACUAAAGGCAAUGCGGUCGCACUACCAUUCUGUGCGGUCCACAGAGUCAAGGUUCAGAAAGGGUAAAGUUGGAGCUUUCAAGCCUGCGCUGUCCGCGGUCCAGUUUGUGCGGACCGCACUAGAAGCCUCUGCGACCGUGGUCCAUUCUGUGUGGUCCGCGGAGCCUGAGUUCAGAGAGCUAAGUUUUCAAGUUCAAGAGCCUAGUGCGGCCGCACUGACCCCGCAGGGGCAUUUUUGUCCAUUUUUUCCAGCUUAGUAUAAAUAGAAUCUUUUUCUAUUUUUAGGGUAUCAGAUAUUUUAGAAUAGCUGCUGCGCUCGUGGAAACGUAUCUUGUAGCCAUUUUGGGCAUUUUUACUUACUUUUUAUCAUUGAAUCUUUGUAUUUAGCUUAGCAAUUAAUUAAUAUGUGUUCAUCUUUAUCUAUUUCUCUGUUUUUCUUUCAA
rnacentral:lncRNA from 1 species